UGCGUAGACGGUUAUUUAAGUCGGGUGUGAAAGCCCCGGGCUCAACCUGGGAAUUGCAUUCGAGACUGAAUAGCUAGGGUACGGUAGAGGGAAGUGGGAUUUCCGGUGUAGCGGUGAAAUGCGUAGAUAUCGGAAGGAACAUCAGUGGCGAAAGCGACUUCCUGGACCAGUACCGACGUUCAGGCACGAAAGCGUGGGGAGCAAACAGGAUUAGAUACCCUGGUAGUCCACGCCAUAAACGAUGAGGACUAGACGUUGGAGGGGUAAGCCUUUCAGUGUCGUAGCUAACGCGCUAAGUCCUCCGCCUGGGGAGUACGGCCGCAAGGUUGAA
rnacentral:rRNA from 1 species